rnacentral:rRNA from 1 species
AUGCAAUGUUAUGGAUACCAUGACCGAUCACCAUCGAGAAAGAAGAAUUUUGAUAAAUCACUUCGCGUGAGCGGGGCCUUCAAGCGGCCUCAAUACGCCGGGGUUGUAAAUGACAUACCUUUCCUUAUGGGAAAUGCCGCCUCCUUACUAAAAAGGAAUAGAAUCAAGUUAUUUUUACCAAAGAAGUCCCGCUCUGACGGCCCCGCCCCGCAUCAGUGA